GUGCCAGCCGCCGCGGUAGUACGGAGGGCGCAAGCGUUAUUCGGAAUUACUGGGCGUAAAGCGCGCGUAGGCGGCAACGUAAGUCAGGUGUGAAAGCCCUCGGCUCAACCGGGGGAUGGCACUUGAAACUGCGUAGCUGGAGUUCUGGAGAGGGUGGCGGAAUUCCCGGUGUAGGAGUGAAAUCCGUAGAGAUCGGGAAGAACACCAGAGGCGAAGGCGGCCACCUGGCCAGAAACUGACGCUGAGGCGCGAAAGCGUGGGUAGCAAACAGGAUUAGAUACCCUUGUAGUCC
rnacentral:rRNA from 1 species